AUGGCUCCUGGAUUUCUGAAUUCAGAACAGCCCCUGCACUGCGUCAUUUUAAAUAAUAUCCGGCACCAAACGAUCAGCCCUGCCCUGUUUCAAAACAUUGCAAUCUGUCUAAAAACCUACACAAGAAAAUCAGAAAUAAAAGGCCAGUAUCAGUUCACAAUAAAGGCAGAAGAAAUUAAUUCGAAAAGGCAUAAUGAAGAAUCUCCAAAUGCAGAAGCUUGA